CGUAAUGCCAUUAAUUUGGUGUUGCGGGGAAUUUGGACUGUUACUUUGAAAAACUUAGAGUGUUUAAAGCAAGCUAACGCUUGAAUACAUUAGCAUGGAAUAAUGAAAUAGGACGUUCGAUCCUAUUUUGUUGGUUUCUAGGAUUGACGUAAUGAUUAAUAGGGAUAGUUGGGGGCAUUAGUAUUCAAUUGUCAGAGGUGAAAUUCUUGGAUUUAUUGAAGACUAACUACUGCGAAAGCAUUUGCCAAGGAUGUUUUCAUUAAUCAAGAACGAAAGUUAGGGGAUCGAAGGCGAUCAGAUACCGUCGUAGUCUUAACCAUAAACUAUGCCGACUAGGGAUCGGAUGAUGUUAAUUUUUUAAUAACUCAUUCGGCGCCUUACGGGAAACCAAAGUGUUUGGGUUCCGGGGGGAGUAUGGUCGCAAGGCUGAAACUUAAAGGAAUUGACGGAAGGGCACCACCAGGGGUGGAGCCUGCG
rnacentral:rRNA from 1 species